CCCCGAACUGGUGUCAGAACCUCCCGGCCUCCGCGAGGGAGAGGCGUCGGCCCGUGCCACACCAGGAAACGUUUGCUGACUGCUGCCCUAGACCACAGACUCAGAAAACCUCCUGGUGACUGUAGCUCUGCUCCUGACCGUGGAUAAAUCUGAAAAAAAGAAAAAAAAAAUGUGCCGUUUGGACCAAGUGAUCUCUGAGUUCUCUAAAAAUUCGAGAAGCCUGGGAAAGCAGUUCAUACGCAGCUCUGAGCCACUCCUGCUCUGCGUCUGCUCCUGGGGCUCCCGCCUCUGGACUCCCAGCACCCCAGGAAUGCCGUGAUUCAGAGACGCGAGCCCUGCCCUGGACGCUCUUCCGUCCCAGCGCCCGAGACUGGGAGCUUCCUGUGGGCAGGGGCCCUGCUCUCUCUCUGUGCCAGCGCUCCGUCAUCGAACUGGCCCUGAGGACAUGCAGUGGACUUUCAUGAAAUGAGUGUUCCGGACCUUGUAGCCUUGGGACAGGACUCUGAGUGUCAUCGAGUCACACAGUGAGGAAGCCCUGGCCUUUUCAACUCCGUGCCCGUCCUUCUCAUCGCAGCAAGCAGAACACUCGGUUGGUUCCAUGCCCCCUACCCCUGCCUGUCUCCAUAUAUAACCCAAACCAGGCAGGUCCUAGACUCAGACUUCGCAGACAAAUGUGUCUAGCAUUGUUUUAGUUUGGAAUUAUCUUCAAUUUAUUGCAAGUGAUACAGGUUUUUCACUUAUAACAGCAAAAUUGUUUCCUUUAAAUUUGUUUUAAAUUUUAAUUCAUUUUCAGGCAGAGAGGAAAGUUGCAAGCACAGUACAAAGAAUUCCUGGAUACCCCCAUCUGGAUUCCCUAGUGUUAAUAUUCUCUCUCUCUCCUCCCACAACACACACACACACACACAACACACACACACACACACACACAGAUGAUUUUUUUUUAACCAUUUAAGAGUUUGUUGCCCUUUUACCCCUAAAUGCAUCAAUACUUCAGCAUGUAUUUCCUAAAAGCAAGAAUGUUUUCGUACAUAAGUACAGUACAUUUUUCAAAAUCAGGGAAUGAACACCGUCAUAACACUGUUAUUGAAUCUCCAGACCUCGUUCCUGCGUCACUACCUGUCCCAAUAACGUCUUUGAUAGCAAAAGAAAGUCCCCGGCUGCGCCUUGCGUUCAGGUGGCAUGCCUCUUCGGCUCCUUUAAUCUGAAACAGUUCUUGAGUCUUUGUAUUUUGUGACAUCAGUGUUUUCGAAAAGUACAUGCCAGA